GGAUGUGAGGGCCAUCUGGCUGUGACAUCUUGUCAUCCCACUGAUAGCUAGGAUUGAUUCAGCUGAUCUGGCUGGCUAGGCGGGUGUCCCCUUCCUCCCUUACCACUCCAUAUGCAUCCCUCCCUUAGCUGCAUGCUCAGUCGAAGAGGGUGACCUUCCCCAAUCAGGCAAUACCAUUUUUUGGUCAUGGGUAUACAGUAGCUGCGCUCCCCUGCUAGAAGCUCAAAACCAGUAACUCCUGCUAGAACCUCCAAACAAGUAACUCCAGCAGCUCCUCAAGGACUUCCACUUGGAAGUCUU
rnacentral:snRNA from 1 species